GUCGGAGGAUGCAAUCGUUAUCCGGAAUUAUUGGGCGUAAAGCGUCCGUAGGCGGUUUAUCAAGUCUGCUGUCAAAGGCUACAGCUUAACUGUAGGAAGGCAGUGGAAACUGAGGAACUGGAGUGCGGUAGGGGUAGAGGGAAUUCCCAGUGUAGCGGUGAAAUGCGUAGAUAUUGGGAAGAACACCAGUGGCGAAGGCGCUCUACUGGGCCGUAACUGACGCUGAGGGACGAAAGCUAGGGGAGAGAAAGGG
rnacentral:rRNA from 1 species